rnacentral:rRNA from 1 species
GCGGUGGGUACGGGCAGACUAGAGUGCAGUAGGGGAGACUGGAAUUCCUGGUGUAGCGGUGGAAUGCGCAGAUAUCAGGAGGAACACCGAUGGCGAAGGCAGGUCUCUGGGCUGUAACUGACGCUGAGGAGCGAAAGCAUGGGGAGCGAACAGGAUUAGAUACCCUGGUAGUCCAUGCCGUAAACGUUGGGCACUAGGUGUGGGGACCAUUCCACGGUUUCCGCGCCGCAGCUAACGCAUUAAGUGCCCCGCCUGGGGAGUACGGCCGCAAGGCUAAAACUCAAA